rnacentral:rRNA from 1 species
UACGAGGGGGGCAAGCGUUGUUCGGAAUACUGGGCGUAAAGCGUGCGCAGGCGGCUGCUCAAGUCAGGGGUGAAAGCCCAGAGCUCAACUCUGGAAUUGCCUUUGAGACUGAGUGGCUUGAGUAUGGUAGAGGUUGGUGGAACUGCGAGUGUAGAGGUGAAAUUCGUAGAUAUUCGCAAGAACACCGGUGGCGAAGGCGGCCAACUGGACCAUUACUGACGCUGAGGCGCGAAAGCGUGGGGAGCAAACAGG